GUCAACGGCCCGGGGUUCAACGCAACGUGGCAUGUCCAGACAUCCAAAUAAUAAAAAAAAUGUAAACAUGGAAAUGGAUACAGUUAUCUUUCACAGACACAAAAUAUCGCAAAUGAUAGAUAUAGAGACAUGAUUGAAAUUAUGUGGCAGAUGAACUUUGACUGCGACUGGCUGGGUGGAAGCGCUUUGAAAAGAUGUGAACAGUAUUGAAGCAUUCUCCUCUCAACAUAAAGAGUGGUCAUCAUGGACCCCAAAAGUCACCACUGGACCAAGCCAGGCCCUGGUCGUCCCCCACAGAGACCCAGGGAGAGAGAGGACUACCAUAGGCCUGCUCACCCUCACCAGGGGACUGGAACCGGGCACCACCCACCAGCACCAAAUGUUGGGGACGCUAUCGCUGGGCACUACCCACCACCACCGGACCCCAGGGAGAGGGAGAGGCAGUGGUCCCACCAGGACCCUCGCUACAGGGUCUACCUCACCAGCCCUCCCCCUUCCAGACCACCUCUAGAUUUCUCUCUCAGCUCUUACAGCACUCCCCACUCCAGAACAGCUUAUGACAGACCCCAUUCCACGAUGGGUUACAUCAGACCAGAGCCACAACACUCCAGACCCCACUCAAGGCAAGCAUAUGACUACCCACCCCAGAUUUACUGGGACCAUAGUCAGGACUAUGGCUACUAUGACCAGGGCUAUUACGAAGGACAUUACCCAGAUGCAGGUCAAUGGCCUCCCCAGGAACAGUGGAGAUCAGACCAGUAUCAGGAGAGGAGAUAUGAGCAGGACCAGACUGGCAGUGGCUACCCAGAACAACAAAGGUAUGACCAGCGGAGAGCGAGCUCUCAGCAUGACUUCAGAGGUUCUGAUGAAGAUCGUUCUAAAGCGAAUGGGGAUGCUGGUGGAGAUUUGCCCACUUUGGCUUGCUGUUAUGCCGAAGGUGCUCUGGCCAUCUCCAAGGCCUCAGGCUUGUCCUCCAGUAGCUAUGAGUUGAGCCAGUACAUCAACGGUGCUGAACAGACUGAGCCUGCCCCACAAACCACCUGGAGCAUAGCAGACACAGAGUAUGCAGCUAUUCCCCAGGUGACUGCCCCUCUGAAAUACACUUUGCCCCAUGCUCUGGUCAGCUUUGGUCCAGCUGGACAGUUGAUCCGGGUCAGUCCUGGUCUGGCCAUGCAGGGAGACCCAGGGAAGGUGGAACUACACAGUCUCGAGAUCAUUCUGGGGGAAACACAGGAGCAGCAGGACAUGAGAGAAUUUCCUGGGCCACUGGCUAGGGAAGACCUGCACAAAGUAGAUGCCAUCUCUUUUGCCCACCAGAAGGCAGAAGCCUGCAUGAAAAAUGAAAAGCUACAAGACAAGGGCUCUGCCGCCCUCCUUUGGAAUCUACUGGUACUGCUGUGCAGACAGAAUGGACGUAUCGUUGGUUCAGACAUAGCAGAGCUGCUGAUGAGGAACUCUCAGGGCCAUGGUGGUUUAGGGGGCAGUGAAUCAGAGGCCCCUACACUCAUAGACCUGAGUGAGGGCCCCAGUCCUGAGACAGACCCCUUGGAUGGAGCAGAUCUGUUGACAGGGACAGCCACUGGUGUCUGUACGGCUGAGUCCACAGAGAAGGACAUGCAGGGAUACACCAAGCUUCUCCUGGCUGGACGGAAGAAGGAGGCCCUCGAGUUGGCCAUGAAGAGUGGACUGUGGGGCCACGCCCUGUUCCUGGCCAGCAAGAUGGACAACAGGUCCUAUACCACUGUGUUGAACAGGUUUACAGGCCAGCUAGCUCCCAACGACCCCCUACAGACCCUGUUUCAGAUGCUCUCUGGAAGGAUCCCUGCUGUUUCCACGUGUUGUGGAAGUGACAAAUGGAGAGACUGGGAGCCUCAUCUGGCCGUCAUGCUGUCCAAUGAGACGGGAGAUCCAAUCGGGCACCAGAAGAGCAUCAUUACCAUGGGAGACACGCUAGCCUCCAGAGGGCUGUUACAUGCUGCUCAUAUCUGCUAUCUGACAGCUUAUGUUCCUUUUGGCGUCUACACAGCCAAGAAUGAGAGACUGGUGCUUCUGGGCAACUGCAACAGUCUCCCAUUCAAAGAGUUUGCUCAGAAUUCUGCCAUUCGGUGCACAGAGUUAUUUGAGUACUGCCAGAGACUUGGAGAUAAAUUCUUCUGUAUCCCCCCCUUCCAGGUGUAUAAGUUCCUGUAUGCGUGUCGUCUGCUGGAUGCUGGGCUGGCGUCCCAGGCCUUCCACUACUGUGAGGUGAUAGGGAUGUCUUUACUCAGACUGCAGGAGCCCAGCAUGGUGCUGCUGGGGGAGCUUAUCAAGCUGGCAGAGCGGCUGAAGCAGUGUGAGGGAAUGGGACAGCUCAGUGACACAGCUGACGACAGGCCUGGACAGGAGCCUGACUGGCUACAGCAGCUGAGAUGCAGACAGCAGGGCAUACAGAUGGGGAGCAGUGGUUGCAGUGAUACAUACCAGCCACCAGCAGACAGGAGUGCAUUGGCCCAUGAGGAGAGCAGUGUGUAUUCAGAAUCAGACACCGGUGACCUUUCUGCAAGGGGAGAUGACCAGAGACUGGAUGCUAAAUUCCUCUCCCACAAAGCAGCAGAAGAGCAACAACAACAGCACGUGCAGGCACAGCAGAUCAACACCCAGCCUCCGCUGCCAGUCAUGGCUUCUAACACUCAGCCUGCAGUGCCACUUGUGGUGGGAGGCCAGGACCACAGUUGCCACUACACAGACACUGCCCAGCCUUUGCCUCAGCCUCAGCCUUCACCUCAGCAUCCUACACUGGACUGUCCUCCUUCAGCAAGGGAAGAUAGGGGUCCAUGUGAAUGCUGGCAUGAUGCCGGUGGCAGAGUAUGGUCAGCACUAUGGCCAGGAGUCUGGUUAUGGAGAUCAGCAAGCAUGGCAGCAGGGAGGGCACCAGGCCACCAUCACGCAGGAGGGCAAGGCCUCAGAGCCGGACAGAAUCCAACCAAAACAGAGCACCAAGUCAGGGUGGUUUAGCGGCUGGUUCAAACACAAACCCAAAGAGGAGCAAAGUGAGGCGUCUCAGGAUGCAGACUCAGCUGACCCAGUUCUCACUAUGGAGAUGCCUCCCACUUCCCUAUUUUCUUUCCCUCCCACUACCAACAUCCCUGCAGCCAAUUUUCCUACCCAGCCUGCAUCUACUGGUAUCAACGCCUUUUCUCGGAAAGUGGGUGAAUAACAGGCCGGAAUGCAUUGGACAACACAUAGACUAAAGUUUUUAUGUUUUGCUGCAACCACCCACCAUACAUCAUACACCUGUACACAUACACAAAUCAUUAAUGAUAAUAAAAUAUUUGUGGUGACAAUUGAUAUUGAUAUUUAAUGGAUUACUGCAUGUUGGAACUGCAGAAAUGCAUGAAUAAUGUGCAGAACAGUGUCCAAUACUGUCCAGAGUUGUGGACAGGAGGCUGCAAAUCUCACUUAUCACUGUAUCUAAUUCUCCCGGAAGCGAAUUUGGGCUGGUUUUCUAUUUAUCUUUCACCUACACUUUGAUUAAGGCUCUAUGCUGAAACAUGUUGGGCACUUUACAUUUUUUGAACUGCUCUAUGCCCUGUAGAUACAGUUUUUUUUAAUGUAAAACCCAUCUGGAGUGCCUGGAACUUAGACUCGUCAAACAAUUUUACACUCUUUUGUUGGAUUUUUCCUGUUUUUCAGAUUUUUAAUUCCCCACUCCAGAGCGAUGGUGGAUGUUUUUGUGGGAUACUUGUAGUGCUCCCGAUAUAUUGGUUCCUGUCGGGCUGAUCUUGAACCAGACAUAUUCAUGCUGAAUGACAACUGUAUGCUUGUCUAGGCUAACAUGAAGUGAGGAAUUUUGACUGGUGCUUCUUUGUAAUGAAAUACCCAACAUGCUCUACCAUAUAGUGAUAGUGCUUCCAUUGAUAGUGUUAGUGCUUCGAGUGUUAGUGCCAUUGAGUGAUAGAGAACACCAUUGAGUGAUUGUCUGAACUUUGGUCUGCUGUAGAAUCCUUUCAGUAGUCUUUAAACAGCAGAAUGAGUACAACAGAGAAAUACAAAUGGUUUAUAACAAUG